rnacentral:rRNA from 1 species
UACGUAGGUGGCAAGCGUUGUCCGGAUUUACUGGGCGUAAAGGGCGUGCAGGCGGUUUGUUAAGUGCAGGGUGAAAGCUCCCGGCUCAACUGGGAGAGGUCCUUGCAUACUGGCGAACUCGAGGGAGGCAGAGGAAAGUGGAAUUCCCGGUGUAGUGGUGAUAUGCGUAGAUAUCGGGAGGAACACCUGUGGCGAAGGCGGCUGUCUGGGCCUUACCUGACGCUGAGACGCGAAAGCGUGGGGAGCGAACCGG